UCUAUCUCCUCUUUGCAUGGUGGGGCUGCCUGGGAGACAGGACGUUGAGGAUGGCACAGGGCAACGUCAUCUUAGGUUGCUGGUGUCAAGGGAAGGUGGGUUAGAGGCGGAAGGACUGGAAGGGAGGUGUAGGAUUAAGUACGGAGUGUUGGAGGGCCUUGUCUCAGUGGCCCGGGUGAAGCUGACCACUUCACGUCAUCCAAGUCUUCUGCUGGUUUUGGAGGUAAGUUGACUUCAUGUUAUUCUGUGUCUGGGGGCUCUUGCAAGAACCUCAGUUUAAGGUUUUUGGCUGGGGGCAGAUUUCCACUUGGAAUGAGACUUGCAUUUUUAAAAUUGUGAAACAUGAACCCAAGGUUGUGCUUGUAACUUUUCUGUGUCCUUGGUGACUCAGUAGGCUGAGUAAUGCCCCCUGCCAAUGACAGGGAAGAGCUCCUCCCAUUCUGAAAAUGUGCAGACUAGGAUUGAAAUAUAUUUGUUCCCAGGAGACCUUGGGUGUUCUAAUCCCUUUAACUGUGGAUGUUUCCCUCAUGGUUGCCAGGGACUUUGCAGACAUGAUUAAAUUAAGGAUGUUGAGAUGGGGAGACUGUCCUGAAUGAUCCGGAUGGGCCCUCGUCAUCAGGGUCCUCAUGGGAGGGACACGAGGAGGUCAGGGGAGGAAGCAGCGGGCAGGAGAAGUGAUGGCUGGAGAGAUGGAAGCAACUCCUCUCCCAGAACCUCCGGGAGGAACCAGCACCUUGACAUUCCCUCAACAAAACGGACUCAGACUUCUGCCCUCCAGAAGUGUCCAAAGAUAAACUUGAGUUGUUUUAAGCCAGAGCCUCUGGGGCAGUGUGAGAGCACCAACAGGAAGCCAGUACAGGAGGACAGCUCUGGGUCCCUUCCAUCUGGGUUCAAGGUUCAUCUUUCGGUGGUGUCUUCCAGAAGAGCAUAUGAAGGCUGUGGUGAUGAGCCUGCUUCCCUUUUGCCUACCGCCAUGAUUGCAAGCUGCCUGAGGUCUCCCCAGAAGCAGAUGCUAGAGCCAUGCUUCCUGUACAGCCUGAAGAACGGCGAGCCAAAGAAGCCUCUUCAUAAUUUACCAGCGUCAGGUAUUACUUCACAGCAAUGCAAAAUGACUAGCACGGGUUUAAAAAAUAGUUACAAACUUCUGAAAGAGACAGAGACGUAAUUUAAAAUAACAACCUAAAGUCAAUGCUUUAAGAAAAGGGAGAGAGGAAUCUCUUAUCCCUUUUUGUACCAGAAAAAAAUAACUUUUAAAUUUUUUUGUUUUGCAUUUACCCUUACACAACAAAGGCAGCAUCACAGACAAACGCUUAAUGUCCCUAAUAUAUGAAGAUUUCCUGCACACCCUGCCAUCCUCACCCAUGCUCCUGCCUUGUGGGAAUAUGUGUUCGUAUAUUCCUGUGGAGGGCAAUUUGACAAAAUCUAUAAACGUGGAAAUUAAUAUGGCCUGUCAUUUUCACUUUCAGCAAUUUAUCUUACAGAUUUAAUCACACAAAUGGCAAAAGAUGUGUGAACACAAGAAUGUUCACUGAAACAUUAAAACCUGUUUACUAUGGAAAAUGUUAAGCUUCUACCAAAGUAGAAAAAUCAUAAUGCGUUUGUGAGUGUCUGUAUCCCAACUUCGGCAGUUACCGACUUGUAGGCAAUCUCGGUUUGUCUGUUUCCUUACCACUUGUACUCCACCAUAGUAUUUUGAAACAAAUCACAGACUUCAUAUCUUUUAUCCAUAUACAUUUUUGUAUAUAUUUCAAAAAGUAAGAAUUCCUAAAAACAACAAUGUAACCAUCAAACUUAAAGUAACAGUUAUUCCAUAGUAUCAACAAAUAUCUAG
rnacentral:lncRNA from 13 species